GGGUAGUUUACAUUUUUAGCUCAGGCAGCACAAAGACUAUAUGGUUCCCUGCCCCUGACCACAGAGCACUGAGGGAAGGGGAGCCCAAGCUGAACUCUUGCACCAGGGCCCAUGAGCCUUUAGCUACGCCCCUGACUGCAGAGUAGGG